rnacentral:rRNA from 1 species
UUAUUUUGUCCGAGGAAGACAUCUGAUUCGGACGAAAGAUUUAUCGGUUAUGGAUGGGGAUGCGUCUGAUUAGCUUGUUGGCGGGGUAACGGCCCACCAAGGCGACGAUAGUAGGGGUUCUGAGAGGAAGGUCCCCCACAUUGGAACUGAGACACGGUCCAAACUCCUACGGGAGGCAGCAGUGAGGAAUAUUGGUCAAUGGACGAGAGUCUGAACCAGCCAAGUAGCGUGCAGGAUGACGGCCCUAUGGGUUGUAAACUGCUUUUAUACGGGGAUAAAAGAUGUCACGUGUGACAUUUUGCAGGUACCGUAUGAAUAAGGACCGGCUAAUUCCGUGCCAGCAGCCGCGGUAAUACGGAAGGUCCGGGCGUUAUCCGGAUUUAUUGGGUUUAAAGGGAGCGUAGGCUGCCGGUUAAGUGUGUUGUGAAAUGCAGGCGCUCAACGUCUGCCUUGCAGCGCAUACUGUCCGGCUUGAGUACGCACAACGUUGGCGGAAUUCGUCGUGUAGCGGUGAAAUGCUUAGAUAUGACGAAGAACUCCGAUUGCGAAGGCAGCUGACGGGAGCGUUACUGACGCUGAAGCUCGAAGUGCGGGUAUCGAACAGGAUUAGAUACCCUGGUAGUCCGCACGGUAAACGAUGGAUGCCCGCUGUUUGUCCUCAAGGAUAAGCGGCCAAGCGAAAGCAUUAAGCAUCCCACCUGGGGAGUACGCCCGCACGGUGAAACUCAAGGAAUUGACGGGGCCCGCACAAGCGGAGGAACAUGUGGUUUAUUCGAUGAUACGCGAGGACCUUACCCGGGCUUGAAUGCAGAGACGAUCAGAGAUGUGA